rnacentral:rRNA from 1 species
UGCUUGGGAAUAUGCCUUUAGGUGGGGGACAACAGUUGGAAACGACUGCUAAUACCGCAUAAUGUCUACGGACCAAAGUGGGGGACCUUCGGGCCUCACGCCUAAAGAUUAGCCCAAGUGGGAUUAGCUAGUUGGUUGAGGUAAAGGCUCACCAAGGCGACGAUCCCUAGCUGGUUUGAGAGGAUGAUCAGCCACACUGGAACUGAGACACGGCCCAGACUCCUACGGGAGGCAGCAGUAGGGAAUCUUCCGCAAUGGACGAAAGUCUGACGGAGCAACGCCGCGUGAGUGAAGAAGGGU